UACGUAGGGUGCGAGCGUUGUCCGGAAUUACUGGGCGUAAAGAGCUCGUAGGUGGUUUGUCGCGUUGUUCGUGAAAACUCACGGCUUAACUGUGAGCGUGCGGGCGAUACGGGCAGACUGGAGUACUGCAGGGGAGACUGGAAUUCCUGGUGUAGCGGUGGAAUGCGCAGAUAUCAGGAGGAACACCGGUGGCGAAGGCGGGUCUCUGGGCCACUACUGACGCUGAGAAGCGAAAGCAUGGGGAGCGAACAGG
rnacentral:rRNA from 1 species